CCGGUUGAUAGCUCAGUUGGUUAGAGCAUGGAGCUGAUAACUCCAAGUUUGCGGGUUUGAUCUUCUUAUGGGA